AUGGUUCAGCCGUUGCAUGACCUCCAUGAGCUGUUGCUGCAAGCGAGGUCUCCACCGGCAGCCGUGGGACUGGUCUCUAUCCUGCUCGUCUGUCCUCUUGUUCUCCUGGUCUUGCGCCGCUUCGGGACACCGUGGACGGCCACGGCCACGGCAAGGGCUAGAGAAGAGCUGCUGAGCAAGCUGCCUUCUCCACCCAGCAGGCUCCCCGUCAUCGGCCACCUGCACCUCGUCGGCUCCCUCCCGCACGUCUCCCUCCGCGAACUCGCUGCCAAGCACGGCCGUGAUGGCCUCAUGCUCCUCCGCCUCGGCGCCGUCCCGACGCUCGUCGUCUCGUCGCCGAGCGCCGCACAGGCCGUGCUGCGCACGCACGACCACGUCUUCGCGUCCCGGCCCUACUCCCCCGUCAACGAAAUCCUCUUCUACGGCCCAACGGACGUCGCCUUCUGCCCCUACGGUGAGCACUGGCGGCAGGUCAAGAAGAUCGCCACCACGCACCUGCUCACCAACAAGAAGGUCCGCUCCUACCGCCAUGCCCGCGAGCAGGAGGUGAGAUUGGUUGUGGCCAAGAUUCGCGAUUCGGCCUCCAAAUGCACCGCCAUCGACAUGAGUGACCUUCUCAAUGCCUUCACCAAUGACAUUGUGUGUCAUGCUGUGUCUGGCAAGCUUUUCAGGGAACAAGGCCAUAACAAACUCUUUCGAGAGCUAGUCGAGGCCAACUCAUUGCUCAUGGGCGGAUUCAACCUCGAGGACUACUUCCCAAUGUUGGUGAAGAUGGAUAUCGUCAAGAGGAUGGUUUGUGCCAAGGCCCGAAAGGUGAACAAGAUGUGGGACAAACUGCUCAAUAAUAUCAUCGAUGAGCAUGCAAGUAAGUCAAUGCAAGAACACAAUAGCGAGGACAAUGACUUCACUGAUGUGUUGCUUUCUAUCCAACAAGAGUAUAAUCUCACGAGAGACCAUAUUAAGGCUCAGUUGGAGAUCAUGUUCGAAGCUGGCACAGAUACAUCAUUCAUAGUGUUGGAAUAUGCUAUGGUCCAGCUCAUGCAACACCCGCACCUCAUGAAUAAGCUACAAGACGAGGUGAGGAACACUAUAACCAAGGGGAAAGAAAUGGUUACUGAAGACGAUCUCGAUAGUUUGGCCUACCUAAAGGCAGUCAUUAAAGAGACACUCCGGCUCCAUAUGCCUGGCCCCCUCCUCGUACCCCACCUCUCCAUGGCCGACUGUAACAUAAAGGGCUACACAAUACCAUCAGGAAUACGUGUUAUCAUCAACAGUUGGGCUCUUGCAAGGGACCCCAAUAGUUGGGAGCAUGCAGAUGAGUUCAUGCCUGAGCGCUUUAUGGAAUAUGGUAGUGCCGCAACUAUGGACUAUAAGGGAAAUGACUUCCUCUACUUGCCAUUUGGCACUGGGCGAAGGAUUUGCCCAGGUAUCAACUUUGCGAUUGCGACCAUUGAAAUCAUGCUAGCGAAUCUCAUGUACCACUUCAACUGGAAGCUACCAGUAGAGCUGAUGGAAGGUGGCAUCAAUAUGACUGAAUUAUUUGGGAUGACAGUGCAUCGGAAGGAGAAGCUCCUCCUUGUUCCCGUAGUGCCACAAGAUUAA
rnacentral:rRNA from 1 species